UCGGAUGUGGUGCACGGUGCACAUCAGCUUGUCUUAAUACAAUGUCCUUGUAGCUCUGUAAGCUGAAGAACGGGGUUCGACUCCCCAUGUCCGAA